ACCCCUCCACACACGCGCUGCGGGAUCGCCUUGAGCACCUUCUCACAGCUGGCCCUGCCGGGCACAGAGAAACACAGGUUAGAGACCCUGCAGGUGGCCCUGGCUUUAGGCAUCUGCUGUGGAGUGUCUCCCAGAUGCGGCUUCCAGACAAAGCUCAGCCCCUUCUUGGUCCUCCAUGGGCCUGCGUCAGCUGUGGCCAGUGACCGCGGCAGGUGUUCUCUCUGGGUCUGAGCUCUGCCUGGGACAAGAGGCCACUGGGCCUGACAGCUCUGCUCCCAUGGUGUGGCUUCACUGGGGUCCUCAGGCACGUUCCCAUAAGCCCUGGGGCGCCAUUGAUUGAUAUGGAGAUGGACUACUACCCUCCACCCCUGAGGAACGCCUGUUGAUAUGCCAAUGCACUAAAGCCAGGCAAGAUAUUCUGGAAAUAUUACAAUUUUGCCCACACAUGGCUACUAUUAUUGUCAUCUUCCAUCGGUGAGAGAUGAGAAUCCACACUCUUCUUUGAACUUCCUAAUGGGGUUAUAUCACAGUGUCCAUUA